CAUCUUUACAAAAAUCAUUUGCCCUAUAUCAUUCACCCCCAAAUUAAACUAAAUCCAUCAAUUCGAUCGAUCACAAUUCACAAACACUAACAUUCAUCAAUUGAAUCACAUUAACAUAAACCCAAACUUGGAACAUUCCAAAUCAUUCACUAUCAUAGUGCAGAAAUUCGAAAAAAAGUUAGG